CCAAUAGCGUAUAUUAAAGUUGUUGCAGUUAAAAAGCUCGUAGUUGAAUUUUGGGAUCAAUGGGUUGGUCAUGCCCUCGGUAUGUACUGAUUUCAUUAGUUCUCACCUUCUAAGGAACCAUGAUGUCAUUCGUUUGAUGUUGUGGGGAAUUAGGACUGUUACCUUGAAAAAAUUAGAGUGUUUAAAACAGGCUAACGCUUGAAUACAUUAGCAUGGAAUAAUGAAAUAGGACAUCCGAUUCUAUUUUGUUGGUUUCUAGGAUCGAUGUAAUGAUUAAUAGGGAUAGUUAGGGGCAUUAGUAUUCAAUUGUCAGAGGUGAAAUUCUUGGAUUUAUUGAAGACUAACUACUGCGAAAGCAUUUGCCAAGGAUGUUUUCAUUAAUCAAGAACGAAAGUUAGGGGAUCAAAGACGAUCAGAUACCAUCGUAAUUUUAACCAUAAACUAUGCCGACUAGGGAUCGGAUGAUGCUUAUUUUUUAAUGACUCAUUUGGCACCUUACG
rnacentral:rRNA from 1 species